UAGUCCUACGGGGCGCAGCAGUGGGGAAUAUUGCACAAUGGGGGGAACCCUGAUGCAGCGACGCCGCGUGAGUGAAGAAGUCAUUCGUGAUGUAAAGCUCUAUCAGCAGGGAAGAAAAUGACGGUACCUGACUAAGAAGCCCCGGCUAACUACGUGCCAGCAGCCGCGGUAAUACGUAGGGGGCAAGCGUUAUCCGGAUUUACUGGGUGUAAAGGGAGCGUAGGUGGCAAGGCAAGUCAGAUGUGAAAACUCGGGGCCCAACCCCGGGAGUGCAUUUGACACUGUCUGGCUAGAGUGCAGGAGAG
rnacentral:rRNA from 1 species